rnacentral:rRNA from 1 species
AGAAUCAACGCUGGCGGCGUGCCUAACACAUGCAAGUCGAGCGCGAAAGGGGGGCAACUCCCAAGUAGAGCGGCGAACGGGUGAGUAACGCGUGGGUGAUCUACCUUCGAGUGGGGAAUAACACCGGGAAACUGGUGCUAAUACCGCAUAACAUCCUUGGGUUUAACUACUUAGGGAUCAAAGCCGGGGACCGCAAGGCCUGGCGCUUGAAGAGGAGCCCGCGUCCGAUUAGCUAGUUGGCGGGGUAAUGGCCCACCAAGGCUCCGAUCGGUA